AGCUGAGCAACUGAACAACAACCCUCCGAAAACCUAAUAUCCUGAUACAUGUGGGACUCAGUCUACAUGACCUCCAGCAAAGAGACGCACAAAGAAAAAGCCUCCUUAUAAAUCAGUUGGUGAAUCUUAAGCCACCUUUCUAAGGAGAGUCGUCCCCUGCACUUCACACCACUGGGAUUUAUGAACUCUGCUUUCAGGAUAUGAGAGAGACAGCUCUGAGGACCUUCGAGUGAAUUCAGGGCAUUCAGAAGGCCAGCCUUGAAUUAAGGCUUUUUCUAGGUUAAUUCCACUCUAUGCCUUCCUCCUACAUCCUCUUUUCGGUGUUUAUUUCACUGUAUCUAUAGCGCAUUGUCUGGAACUCUUCCGCAAGCUUCUCAAGGUUGGGGACCCGGAGUGAGCAGAGUCCAGUGGUACUCAAGCAAAAUAUUUAUUUGAAAUAUAUGAGGUCCUCUUUCUUCUCUCCAACCCGCCUUCUCUAUUUUCUACUUGCAGAUUCAGGACAUUUCAUCAGAGAUGUUUUCUAAACCCACAGCAAUCUCAUCUUGCUCCAGAAACUCAGGAUUCCACCCCCAGAGAUUUGGAGAAGCCAAGCACCCAGUCAAGAUGGUGCUGGCCGUAAAAGGAUGCCACUGAAUCGCUCCAAAGAGCACCUUCCAUGCUGAAGGGGAAGAAGCAUAGAAUAAGGCCCAGUUCAAGAGGCGAGGGAGGGAUUUAAAAAGCUAAGGACCCAGAACAGCCUGGACGUGGGCUUUGGACCCAAAGCGGGAACCCUGGGAGGAGGCUUUGCCUAUGGGACAGGGGGAAGCAGGAUAACGAGCUAGAAAUCAUUGCAGAAGUUCACGCAUUUGCAUAGCAUCACCCCCAGGAUCCAAGCUGAGUUCCUGGGCCAUUCCCCAAGAAGUCGGGGUGGAGGGACAGACGUCAAUGUUCCCAUCAAAUGGGUGGGGACACCGAGGCACAAAGAGGAACUGUGGCCCCCAAGUUACCCUGUAAAGUGCAGCAACAUCCAGACACAGUGUCUCUCAAGAAAACCCUCAAGAGGCUGUACCUCGUAAGCUGGCUCUUCGAGAAAAGCUUAAAAAAAAA